ensembl:lincRNA
CGAAUAUUUAAUGCGAUGCAUUUCCAUGUGUUGCCGUCUCAGUGGAAACAUUUAUGGAGACCUCUUCCAGUUGAAAAUAGGUUUAAACAAGACUUUUUUUUUAAUUUAUGGGCGAGACGUGUUACGGAUUUUUUUUUAAAAAACACACCAAAUAAGCAGAAUAAACCAGAAAUGCGAAUGGCGUUAGAAGUUCUCACUUCUGCCCCUACCGGAAGUCAGUAGCUCUGACAACGGAAAACGAAGCUGUGGGAGCGAUUUGGUAAAUGAUGUUUUAUGUCUGAUCGGUUUAAAUGCCUCCGUCCUCUCCAAGAGUUGUAGAGGUUCUCGGGCUGGCCGGUUUUUGUACUUUCUGGAGGGUGCGGGGCUACACAUGUCCUUUCCCGACCGCCUGGAAGAGCGCCUGGCCUCGGCGGGGGCUCAGCUGACCCAGGUAGCGGUGUCGGAGAUCUGGAGGGUCGUGGGGGAGAUGAUGGCGGAGUACCGGGGGGAGAUCGCCCGGCUGGACAGAGACAACGCGGGCCUGAGGCGCAGGAUCCGCGAGUGCAGGGCCGAGCUGGUGGCGGCGAGGCGGCGGCGGCGGCGGAGGCGGACGCGGGGCUCCGGCGGGGACCGGCCGCCAGGGAGGAGCGACGGAUCCCGGCUCGGAGAGCGCAGCCCCGGGCGGAGAGAGGCCGGAGCGGCGGAUUGCAGAGCUGCGGAGGCCGGCGCUGUCCCCGACACUGGGCGGCAGGGCUGCGGGACCGAGGGGGACCCCCCGCCGAUGGACGCGGAGGACGGACAGGUCAACGUCGCCCGCCGCCACAGGGAAGUGGAGCCGGUCAGCGCGGCCAAACGGGAACCCGAGCCCGGAAACGGGGGGUUCGUUCCAGAUUCGUGGCCCCGUCGCGACAGAGGGGGCCCCGACCGGACCGGACGGGGGUCCCCAGGCCGGGAGCCCGGUUCCGCCGACGCCUGGGACCCGGCUCCGAGCCCCCCCGGCGCCGGCAGCGAGGCCGGUCCGGAACAGAUCCUUGGCCCCUCGCCUGGAGGGGGGCGGUGGUCCGCCGGCGCAGGGGGGGGCGAGGCGGGAGGGGGGACCCCACGGCCGCUGGGCCCCGGGCCCCCCUCUCCGCAGGUCCAGCAGCGUGGCGGACACCGCUGCACCCAGUGCGGCAGAGCUUUCAAGAGAAAGUGCAGCCUGAAAUCCCACCUGCGGGCUCACGCCAGGACUCCACCCCCAAAGUAAGAGGCGUCCCUUUUCCCGCAGGAAGUCCCCGCCAAAACAACGGGAACCACCCAUCCUGUUUCUAAUGCGCUUUAUCCAAUUCAGGGUCGCAGGGUUGCCGGACCCUAUCCCAGCAGGCCACGGGCCCUUGUCCGGCCACACUGACUUGUGCCCAGCUCGCCCACUGGCGCCGGGUACAACUUUCCCAGGAGCCAGUGAACCUACCGGUAUGUCUCUGGACUGUGGGAGGAAACCGGAGCACCGAGAGGAGAUCCACAUGAACGCAGGGAGAACACGCAAACUCCACACAGACACCACCCCAGGUCCCCGACUUGAACCCAGGGCCCCAGGGCUGCAGAAGUGCCUCACGCUUCAAGAGAUCAACACUUUGGUGUCUGUAAAAUGAGCUGACUGCUUCUAGAAAUAAAAAUGGAUAAUGAACGUUUCUUGUACGCAAACACUAAUUGGCUCUUCCUUCCACCAAUCAGCACAAAGAUGUUUUCUGAGCAAGUCAGACCCAAUUGGAGUGAUGCUUCACUCAUAGAUAAAGAGGUUAGCUUUAAGUCCAGUAAAAAAAAAAAGGAAUAAUAGCAGUUUAUUUUGCAUGGUACAUUAAUAUUGUACCUCAGACAGUUAGCAUUAAUAUCCACUCAUUACAGGGUUUAUGCUUAAUUUCUGAUCAGUUUAGGAGAAUAUACACAUUCCUGUCUCAAACCGACCUGAAGGGUAUAGACUUGAUCAGUAUCUUUAAGGGCUGCCCACUUCAUUUUCUACUGAGAAAAUAAAACAGGCUUUAUAGUGUGUAAGAAUUAAAGUUUAUUAUGUGGGCAUUCUUUUUGAUCGGAGGUGGUGUAUUUAUCUUGAGCACAGAUGUUUUAUAAAUAAUAGACAUUCCUAAGGGAAUUAAUUGCACUGUUGAGUAAUUAUUUGCCUGGUCUUCUUGACUUUACUUCCAACUGAGGUCUAAAUUACUACACGGACCUCUCAACGGAACUAGUAAUUUGCUUAAUUAGACCUGUUUUAAAGGCUGCAGAUGUUCUUCACCAUUAAAACGUGUAACUUGCUAUCUGCAAGGGGAUAGGAACUAGAAUGUAUUAAAAGGUUUAAGCAAAUGACUUGUUUGAUCGGGAGAUCUACUGUGUGACUGAGAGGAGAGUUCUUAAAAAAGAUGGAGAGUCUAAUAUUGGAUUUGUAAGAGGGAGCUGAUAAAUCUCAGUUUUCUUAUCAUGGUAGCAAGGCAACCAACUCGAAGGCUGGAUGUUAAGCAUACUGCAAGCUUAAUAAGAUGUUAGCGGCCCCCAGCUUUCAAAGACAUCUGGGUCAUUAGCUGCCCUCCACAUCUUCCAGUGACACUAGUCUGCAGUCCCAGAGGAACUGGAUGUACUCUGACAGGUCCCUCGUUCUGUAACAGAUCAUCAGGCACAGAGUCCACUGAGUCAUGAAGGGUCAGUUCAGUAUUUGUCAAGUCCUGGCUGGAUUAAGCUGCAGCAGUAUAAAGUAACAGAAGUUGCAUACCAGUGUUCUAGAUCUGUGUUCUCCAGUCCUGGUGCUGGUAUAAGGAGCCUGUGUUCUAGAUAAAUAUUUGCCAGCCCAGGUGCUAGAAUAAAGGCACUUUAUUCUAGAUCGGUACUGUUUAGCUCUGGUGCUGAUAAUAGAAACCAUGUUCUAGAUCUGUGUCCUCCAGUCCUGAAGAUAAUAUGAGGUACCUGAGAGUGGGCAGAGUUUACCAGAGCUCGUCUCUACCCUUCCCCCUUUCUUACCAGGGGUUCACGACAGCAUGGCGAAUAUCCAGUACUUUCACUAAGUUCACGGUUUUGUGCUUAAUUUGGAAUUGGUAAGAUUUUUCUAUACCAUCUACGAAUUUUAUUUUGUUACCGAGAUUUAAUAACUGGUCUGAGAAAUUGGGACUGCGGUGCCCCUUUAAAAGCAGUCAUGACAAUUUGUCUGCAAUAUUUAUGCGUAUGUGGAGGAUAGAAAUAUUUAAUCCGUCUGAUAAUUUGGCUGGGCUAAUUGCAGGUCUCCUCAAAUCUUCAAGAGGGCGAGACCUCACCAAAGGCACUAAAUUAGCUCAUCUGGGGCUUUUAAUCUGAGGGGUUUAGCCAGGCUCAAGUCUGGAGCUGACGAUGACGUCAGGAGAUUUAAAAAACCUGCUGGCCUGUCCUCCUCUCCUGGACCAGACCAACUGUACAGUGUAGGGCUCCCCACAAUCACCCUGAGCCCCUAUAAUUGCACUUUACCCCUUUAUUUUUUGCACACAGUCACUAAUUGCACUUGCCCAUAGACCUAUACUCCUUUUUUGUGAACUCACUUAUUGAGGAGUUUGAUUGAAUGGGGGGUACUGUUUGUUCGAAGUUCGGUUCCACCUUGAACAAAUACAUAAAAAAUCUGAAUUUCUUAAGAAAAUAACUAUGCUGUACAUAUCGGAAAUAAGAGCUUUAGAUUGUACUUCUACUUUUUAAGAUCUUUACAAUUAAGAAAAAAAUCGGCAUGUCUUCAUUGUUGCUCGCCGGUCCAAACGAGCUUGGCAGGGGGUCGGUACACUAGUUAAGGGGCUGUUGAGGUGACUGUGCUGGUAAAAAAGCCAGCUGCGCAGAUGCUUAAAUUUUCCAAAGUAUUUUUUCUUAGCACUUCAGUUUAUUAAUUUUCAUACUGCUUUUGUUUUUACUACGGUGAGCUUACAUAUAGGCUCGAUCUGUGUCUUUCAACGACCGACAACUCUACGUUCCAGAGUGUACAUUUCCAAGAUGCAUUGUCAAUACUUUAAUGAUGAAAACGUUAAUCAGCUCAAAAUGAUAUCAGUCUCUACACGUUCUGUGAGCUGUUGUAUUUGUACAACUGGGGGACCAGGGCAGGGCAGUAUCUCACUAGGCUACUGUCCAGUUCAGAGAGGUCAUGCUGAAACAUGUCUGAUAUGGAGAUCAAGGUCUUAUUCUUUUUCUUCCAGCCUGCAGUUUACAUCCAGAGACCUGUCUAAUUUGGGGAGAGAAGACCGCUAAUCCUAGAGAGGAGAGCAUUGAGUAACACACCAGCUUUGCAUUUUCUUUGUAUUAAUUCCUCAGGUUACUUUGAUAUGACACUGCAAACAAUACACUGAUU